rnacentral:piRNA from 1 species
UUGAAAAGCAAUAUUCAAGUGCCUUGAACA